rnacentral:rRNA from 1 species
GACGAACGCUGGCGGCGUGCUUAACACAUGCAAGUCGAACGGAAAGGCCCUGCUUUUGUGGGGUGCUCGAGUGGCGAACGUGUGAGUAACACGUGAGUAACCUGCCCUUGACUUUUGGAUAACUUCAGGAAACUGGGGCUAAUACCGGAUCGGAGCUCCUGCUGCAUUUUUGGGUUUGGAAAGUUUCGGCGGUUUGGGAUGGACUCGCGGCUUAUCAGCUUGUUGGUGGGGUAGUGGCUUACCAAGGCUUUGACGUGUAGCCGGCCUGAGAGGGUGACCGGCAACAUUGGGAAUGAGAAACGGCCCAGACACCUACGGGAGGAAGCAGUGGAGAAUAUAGAAGAAUAGGAGGAAGACUGAAGCAGCAACACAGCGGGCGGGAUGAAGGCCUACGGGUUGUAAACCGCUUACGCCUGUGACGAAGCGUGAGUGAAGGUAAUGGGUAAAGAAGCACCGGCUAACUACGUG